GCUACGGGGGGCAGCAGUGAGGAAUAUUGGUCAAUGGCCGGAAGGCUGAACCAGCCAAGCCGCGUGAAGGACGACGGUGCCAAGCAUUGUAAACUUCUUUUGUCCAGGGACAAAAUCAGGCUCGAGAGCCUGACCGAGGGUACUUGAAGAAAAAGCAUCGGCUAACUCCGUGCCAGCAGCCGCGGUAAUACGGAGGAUGCGAGCGUUAUCCGGAUUUAGUGGGUUUAAAGGGUGCGUAGGCGGACUAUUAAGUCAGCGGUAAAAGCCCGGGGGUCAACCCCGGCGAGCCGUUGAGAAUGGCAGGCUUGAGAUGUCGAGAGGUAUGCGGAAUGCGCGGUGUAGCGGUGAAAUGCUUAGAGAUUGCGCAGAACUCCGAUUGCGAAGGCAGCAUACCGGCGGCGAUCUGACGCUGAGGCACGAAAGCGUGGGUAUCGAACAGGAUUAGAUACCCUUGUAGUC
rnacentral:rRNA from 1 species